UGGUCCGCAGGGCCCCCGGGGCUUGGACUGGGGCUGUCGCUGGUUCGGUAGGGUUGGGGCCCCGCGCUGAGCGCACAGCCCUUGUGCUCCAGCUCCUCCAUAUUUUAAUAAAUGGCCACGACUUUUUGAGAUCUUGGUAGUGUCGCCUGUUGGGGUGCGAGCCCCUCGGACUGCUCCUCUGAAGCAGGGGGGUGGCUGGCGCCAGGCCGGUGGCCCUAUUUUGCCUUUCCGCUUAGAGGAACUCGGCCCCCACCCUCGCCGCGGUCACCUGCACGUUCAGCACCCCAUCAGUGCACGCACCUGGGCCUCCAGCUACCGCGGGCGGGCGGAGAGCUUCCGGAAUGUGGGAGGGGGGCUCUGGAACUGGCUUACGUCUUCUACCUCACAGACAGGGUUCUCUGAACCUCAGGACGGAGAUGCCGCCGCCCCCACGUCGGGCUGGCUAGGGAGCCACCGCCCGGACAGGCAUCGGGGGUUGUGACCGCCAGGGCCCCGGCCUACUCCUCCACGUCCAAGACGAGAGGCGAGGCCCAGACCCUUCGACCGCAAGCCGGCUCCGCGUCCCUCCCGUCCCGCCGGUCUCCAAACCAUGAUCCAUUCCAAAUGAUACCAGCGCCAGACUCACGUCUCAGCCACGCCUCCGAGGAAGAAACCAUGUUUGUUUCUGAAAAAACAAAACCCAGAAGACGUCUUCCACCUGUUUCUGUGUUUCCUAAGAAGAACAGUUUGACAAAUGUCAAGGAAUUCAAAGCGGGAUAUUAGUUCCUGAAGUUUCCGUUUGCAGUUUCUGCCUUGCUUCUGUUUGAAUCUUGUAAUUAAACACAGCUUUUGAUAUUUA